rnacentral:tRNA from 1 species
GCCUGGCUGGCUCGGUUGGUAGAGCUCGCGACUCUUGAUCUUGGGCUCGUGAGUUCAAGCCCCGUGCUGGGCG